AAAUAAGAAACCGAAAAUCAAGAUGGUAACCAUGACAGUGCCAUUGAAGAAUGUUUUGGAGGAGAGAUAGAAUAUUGCCCAUCUGCUACAAUCACGUGUGAAAAACAAAAAUACAUGGUCCAUUAUUAAAGAACUUGAAACAAUACCUUAAUCUUCAGAAGAAACAAAACAAAUACAAAGUGGACAGAAAGACGUAUUAGGCAUCAUAAAUAAAUGAAGAGAAAUGUCUCUAAUAAUGAUAGGCAUCAAGGAAGGAAUGAUAUAGAAUCUUGAUGAGUGUAUUCACUGCAGGGAUGGCUCCAACGUUGCUUGAGUUAAAAAUAAAGAUAGUCAGUUAACAGGAAGCCUUGCUCUUGUGAUUCAUAGAGAGAUGUCGAACUUUAAACUUAUGAUUGGCAUAAGACAGGAUAAUAACUACAUUCAUGGUUUUUUCAUUAACAUGGUACACCUACAACUAUGUAAGGAAUAAAAAAAUGAAUGAUAAUAAAUCAAUAAUAUAAUAAAUGAUCAA
rnacentral:lncRNA from 1 species